CCUACGGGGGGCAGCAGUGAGGAAUAUUGGUCAAUGGACGAGAGUCUGAACCAGCCAAGUAGCGUGAAGGAUGACUGCCCUAUGGGUUGUAAACUUCUUUUAUAUGGGAAUAAAAUGUUCCACGUGUGGGAUUUUGUAUGUACCAUAUGAAUAAGGAUCGGCUAACUCCGUGCCAGCAGCCGCGGUAAUACGGAGGAUCCGAGCGUUAUCUGGAUUUAUUGGGUUUAAAGGGAGCGUAGGUGGAUUGUUAAGUCAGUUGUGAAAGUUUGCGGCUCAACCGUAAAAUUGCAGUUGAAACUGGCAGUCUUGAGUACAGUAGAGGUGGGCGGAAUUCGUGGUGUAGCGGUGAAAUGCUUAGAUAUCACGAAGAACUCCGAUUGCGAAGGCAGUUCACUGGACUGCAACUGACACUGAGGCUCGAAAGUGUGGGUAUCAAACAGGAUUAGAUACCCCAGUAGUC
rnacentral:rRNA from 1 species